UUUGUCAAAAUUUAGGUACAUUUUAGGUUAUUUUCACUUCUUUUUUACUCCAUAUCAAGUCAACUAUCUUAUAUAAAUUGAGAUGAAAGAAGUAAAAAUUAUUGUUAAUGUUAAGAAUAUUGUGUAGCGGGAAAAGUGGAUGGUGAAAUUGGAAGAGGGAGGUGAGGGAAAAGAAGAUGCAGAAUCCCUAAUUCGGACGAUAAAUAUAUGCACGGGCAUUUCAAAUGAGCUAUUGUUGUCACAAUCUGUCUAUCAAAAGCUCCUUAACAUAUCCAAUAGAGUUUGUCACCGUAUUCGUCUCUUCCGCCACUCAAAGAACUUCUGGUGAUGGUUGUCUGUUUUUUUGACUUCUAUGGGAUCAAAGCUUCACCCAACUUGACUAGAUUAGUCAGGGAAAGACUUCUAUUAUGUGCACAUGCUGCCCAAUCAGCAUCACAGCAGGCAAUAAAAUCUUUAAUAGGUUUGUUGGAAAUAUUACAUCCUUAACCUGGUUGAUUUUUUAUAUAUCUGGCUAUCCUGAGUGUUGCUUCCAUAUGAAUCUUCUUAGGCCUCUGUAUAUAUUGGCUAAGAAUUUUGACACCAUAGGAUAUAUGAGGCCUGGUAACUGUUAAGUAUAGCAGUUUUCCUAUUAACUUUUUAUAAGAUCUGACAUCUAUAAACAAAGGAUCAUGAGUGUUGUUACUAUUUUUGAGAUUGUCAUAGUCUUUGCUUGUCAACUUAGUGUUAGAAUCCAUAGGAGUAGGUAUUGGUUUAGCUGUUGAUAAAAACAAGUUCUGAAAUGAGUUCCAACACAUACUUACUUUGAUUCAUCUUUCUUCAUCUGAUCUGGCAAAUUCUAUUCCAAAGAAGUACUAUAACUCUUCUAAUUCUUCCAUCCUGAAGAUCUUUUGAAGUGAGCUCUUAUCUUCCUUAAUUAACUUCAAACUGUCUCCAGUUACCAGAAUAUCAUCAUAAGUCUUAGGUUCUGUAAUAACAGAGAAAAAAAACAAACAAGAUUUUUAUUUUGAAGCUAAGUUGUCAUAAUACAAAUAUUUAGUAAUGUUCUAGGGAAUAUCAUGAUGAAUAGAGUUUAGAGAUAUGAAAUCCUUCAGCCGAAUAGGUGGUUGCCUAUUUCUGAUUGAAGCUCUAGUGGGAAAAGCAGAUGAAAGGUGUUUGAUGACCACUGUUUUUAACUGGUGGUUCAUGACUAUCAAGACUAUGAUCUGCCUCCACUUGGUGUGACACAGAUGCAUCUAUAACAAAUCAAGGAACACUAUGAAAGUUAGUAUCAUUGGUCCAUGGAGAAUACUGAGACUGAGUAUACAUUUCUUCAGAUAAUAAAGGAUAACUUGAGCUAAAUAAAGGUUUCUCAAGAGCCUUGUCUUUAAGAGAAAACAGAGUUUCUUUGAAAAUAACAUCUCUGUGAAAAAAGUUGUUAGUUGCUUGACCAUACAGUAAAUAUCCUUUUUGAGAUUCUGAAUAGCCCUUGAAAACAACUUUCUUACUUCUAGACUGUAAUUUAUUAGCUUGAUUAAGGAUUUUUGAUAGCAUAAACAUCCUAAUAUUCUAAAGUAAAGUAGAGAAGGUUUGCUCAUGUGCAAUUUUUCGUAAGGAAAGGUAUGUACAACAGAUGAAAGAAGUCUACUAAUGAUGUAAGCAGUUGCUAGUACACAUUGGCCCCAAAACCUUAUAGGAAUGUUAAUUUGAAGUUUAAGAGCUCUUGUGACUUCUAAUAUAUUUUUGUGUUUCCUAUCAGCUACUCCAUUCUGCUGAGGGAAAUAAGCACAUAUAUUUUUGAUGUAUUAAGCCUAAUUCCUUAAAUUUUGCAGUACAUAUUUCAUUUAUAAAUUCUGCACCAUCAUCUAUACUACAAGCUUUUACCAUUUUAUUAAACUGAGUCUAAACAAAAGCAAGAAAGUAUUGAAUAAUAAUAUAAGCAUUAGAUUUCAAUAUAAGCAAAUAGAUCCAUACCAUUCUAAAGUAAUCAUUAUCUAUUGUUAGAAAGAAAGUACUAGUAAUCUUUUGUAGUAGGGGUCUUGUAAGGUCACCAAAGGUCCAUAUGAAACAAAUCAAAAGAACUAGUACUCUUAAUGCUACUUGCAGGAAAGUGAAAUCUAGUCUGUUUUACACAAGGACAAACAAAAUAUUUAUCUACUAUACUAGCAAUAUCUUGCUAUUUGUUAGGAAUCAUUUUGUUUAGUACUAAUAUGAAAACAUGUCCAAACCUCUUAUACCACAAACUUAAGUCUAAUUGAUCUAAGAACAGCUGUCUUUAGUAGAAUCUACAACUAAUACUAUACUACGCUUGGUAGGUUGAUUAGCAUCCUAAUUAAGCUAAUAUAGUCCUUCCUCCGGUCUACCAAUCUUCUUCACCUUUUUAAUUGAGAAAAUAAACAAAAGAUAGCAUAAAAUAGAGCUACACAAUGUAAUUUCUUAGUAUCCUUGGAAAUAGAUAAUACAUUGAACUUAACUGUGGCAAGUGAAACAUAUUUUGUAGUGUGCUAUGUUCAGGAAUAGAACUAGCACCAGUAUGUGUUACUACAGAUAUGUCAUCAUAAACAAAUUUUCUUUGAAACUUUGUUUUUCUAUAACAGUUUGUCUAUCUAACUUGUUAAUAUCAGAUACCAUAUGGUUAGUGACUCCUGUAUCUAUAAUCCAACCAUUAGAAUUAGUAGAUACUAAAACUGCACUCAGAGGCGGAGCCAGCCCUCUUUAGGGGUUCGUCCGAACCCUCUUCGACGGAAAAAUACACUAUUUAUUCAUGAUUAAAAUUAUUUUUUAUGUAGUUAUAGUAGGUGUUGAACCCCCUUCGAUUUAGUUUUCUUUGAACAUUGAACCCCCUUACCUGAAAUCCUAGCUCCGCCUCUACUCAUACCUGACCUUGUAUUAGUAGUAGUAGGAAAGUCAUUGGUUUUUGCAAUAUUGGCACUAACAGAGGACUGGUUUGACUAGUUUAGCAUCUAUAGAAGUUGCUUAUAUUGACUACUAAUGAACACAUGCACCAAAUUGCUGACUUACACUAGAACUUUGUGUUGGUGCCUGUAGAUACAUUUGCUUAUACAACCCUAUAACAUUAGAUAUCACCUGAUAUUUCCCAUUGUCUUGAUACUUCAGAACACCAUUAUUCAUGUAGUAAUCACUAGCUAUAUUUUGAUUGUCAUUUUUAGCUUGUACAUGAUGAGCAUUAUAAUAUGCAGGAUUUCCACUUUCAAAAAUAAUUUUUUUCUUUUCAUUGUUGAAUUUGGUACAAAAUCAGAGCGAGUUGGAUGUCCCAGAAGGAUAUCCUACAAGCUUGUAACAAUUAUCCUUGGCAUGCCCUUUCAUCUUGCGGUCAUCAUACUACACACUGUAAUUCAUUUCCCUCUUAAAUCUUGAGGAACCUGUCAUAAUUAGAAUACAUUACCAGGAUCAUAACUAUUAGAGGUUGCGCCUAACAAGGCAGUAGAUGCAAAAAAGAGGAAGCUUUUUGACUUUAAUCAUUUAUAAUCAUGGCAUAUGCCUGAUUUACAGUAGGUAAUGGAUUUAUGAGUAAUAAUUGACUUUUUGCUUGCAGAUAACUAUCAUUCAAAUCCAAAAUAAACUGAUAUAGUUUUUACCUUUGGACAUAGACAAUAAACUCUUUUGACUGUUCACAUUUAUAUCCUGAAAUAGGAAUCAAAGAUUCAAAAUUAUUUCACAUGUCUUUGACUUUUGUAAAAUACAUAGACGCAGAAUUUGUUCCUUGUAAAGUAACAACAUUUUUUCUAUGAAGAUUAAAAGUUCUUGAACCGUUUAUCUUAUCAAAUAUUUCUUCAUGUUGUUUCCAUACAGACCAUGCAUUAAAAGCAUACAUAAUGCCAUUUAAAAUAUUGCUUGAAACAGUGUUCGUACUUCAAGACAGAACUACAACAUUCACCCUUUUUCAUUGCCCCCAUAAUUGUUCUCUAAACUUACCUUUUUUAUAUGUUUCAUCUACCAUCUCCUUCUUGUUUCUAUCAUAUUAGGCUUUAUGCAUUGAUCUACUUCAAAUGGUAUAACUUUCAAGGUCAGUUAAUUAGAAUAGAAAUAAGAAAAACACCACUUACAUCCAUUUUAUGCAAAUAUAGGGGAUGAUUGUGAUCUAAGACUUGACCAGACUGAUUUUUGCAUUAGUUGCUCGAGUAGAAUUUGGGGGUUGAGACCAUUGAGUUGAAUUUCUUUCAAGAUCUCCGAGAUUUCCAGUAGGAUUUGAUUACCUCGCCAUACUAAUCUUAGAUUAACACCACAAACCAAAAACUUCUUCAACUUGAGUAACUAGAUUGAUACUACAGCUUGCAAAUUUCUAGAAUCGACCUAGUAUUCUCUGUAGAAGUUUGAUCAAGAGUUCUUGAAUGAAUGUCAGAAUAUUCAGAAACUAGUUCAGACGGAGAAGAAAGAAUAGAGAAGAAGAGAGGAAGAGAGAAUGAAGUAUUACGUUUUAUUAAUUGUGUAACAACGAUUAAUUGUACAAAUGAACUACUUUACUAUAUAUAAUCAUCUAAGCUACUACUUGGAAGCCUCUAGAAGUGAGUUCACUAUAACCGACUUAUAACUAACAUAACUAUAAAGAUGAAAAUAGUGAACCAUACUAACUUCCAGUUACUACUUAAUGGACUUCUAAUAAGUUGACUUAGCUUAAACAAUAUCAAAAGUGAAAAUUAUCGAAAGAUGUAUUUAAAAAAAAAAAGAUUAUAAAGGAAAAUAAAUUAAAAACAGAAGAGUAUUAUUUCAAGAUUGCAAUUCACUUUUUAUGAAGAGUUACAUGUCUAACCUAUGGGUAAAAAAAAAACCCUCUGAAUUUUUACUUGAUCAAGAUAGAUAAUGCAAAUUAGGCUAAACAAUAAAGAUCAUAGCUCGAUUUAUCCUACUCAAACUUAUUGGUUAUUUAAUUGCUUGUUUUGUUCUUUUACAAUUGUUUGAUGGCUAUUAAAAAUAAUAAUAAAAAUAUUACAGAUUUUCCCUCUAGACUCAUCUCCUUUUUUCUGAACAGAACACUAGAACUCAAUGAAUAAUUACGGAUAUUGAUUUUACAUGAUUAUUCAGGCGGUGUUAAACAAUUUUUCACUCAUACUCAUUUAUAAGAUUCUAGUCUUACAAAAUUACCUAUAGUUUCGGAUAUUCUUUUCCUUCAGAUCAUACAAUUCAUAUAAUUGUAUAUAUCUGAGGGUAUAUAAUAGUUAAAAAAAUUAAAUCACAUUGUUGUAUAUUAUUAAGGUUUACCACAUGUAAAUUGUAUACCUCAAAAUUAUACACCAGACAUACCUACUAAGUAUUUUUUUAUUUUUAAUUGUUGUUUCAAAUAACUAUGGAGUGCAAUAUCUUUUUAAAUAGGUAUUCUUAAGUAAUUUUCUUUUGCAUGAACAUUUGCUUUAAUUUUUUCAAAAAUAUACACAUAGUCGGAUCCUUCCCCCCUUCAUAGUUUAAUUUGACAUUUCUUGCAAUAACAUAUCUUGCUAAUAGGCGGAUGCAGUCUUACAAUAUUAAGUUUAUCUCAACCUAAUAUUUUUGAUGCAUAAUAUAAUUUUAUGUGUAAAAUUCACUGAAAUUAUAAAAAAUAAAUUGUGGGUUUGAACUUUGAAAUCAUAUUUUUAACAUAUAAUAAUUUUAAUAUUAAGAAUCUUAAAGGUUGAACUGAUCAUAGAAUUUAACUCCUGAAGCCACCUUUGUUGGUUCAAUAUGUUGAUAUUGAAUACUUUUAGAUACCGAAUGCGGAUGAUCAGAGGUUUGAAAUAUCGACAUGCAUGGAGAUAGAACAUGACGUGCAACAACUAGCUGAACUCGUGUUAUCUAAAUCUGAUGAAGAUAUAGACGCCAACAUCAAUCAAAUGUUUCUUAAUAUACCCAAAAGCUUCUAUUAUGUUACUACUGUAAUCCAAGAACAAUAAAUUUCCACAUUAACAAAGUGCUUUUUGAAAGGGUAA